UCUGUCUGAUGUACCGGACCCCUGCUGGAGGACCCUUCAGAUACCUUGGCUAUUGAACCUCGGGUUGCAAUUCGCAAGAGUUGCUGGAGCAAGUAGCAGAGUUUGAGAAGACUGAUUUCAAACCCAACAUCAAGGUAAAUCAGGAGACCACUAAGCCAAAAUUAGCACCACUGAAUGAAGGAGGUGUUUCUGAACUACUACAGAGGGAAAUUUCCAGACUACAAGAGGACAAUGACAAAUUGAAAGCCAGACUGAGAACCCUGGAAUCUCGGGUAAAGGAACUGUAAUUGUAGUAACAAUAAAAUAAAAACUCAAUGUCUUAAUACAUUGUUGAAA